GUACUCACAUUAGCAGCACAUAUACUAAAAUUGGAAACAAUACAGAGAAGAUUAGCAUGAACCCCUGCACAAGGAUGCUGUGCAAAUUUAUUAUUUUUUUGUCAUUUAA